GUGAUGACAGCACAAGCAGGCAUUCAAUUCACACCAACUUCUCUGUCUUGUAGUUUGCUGCAGGUACAAUGAUCACUGACCCUGCAGGAGAAAGGGCCACUAGUAUCCUGGGGACAAGUCUGGUGAACCUUUUCUUACAAUAGAGAGAGUGCAAUAACAUCUUUCCCGGGAUAAGGAGACCAAAACUGCACACACAACUCUCGGUCUGUUAAGAUGGUGGAAAGUGCAAUCUACUGCUCUGAACCUACCUGGACAAAGCAGCUGAAUUCCAGAGGCAUCAGCUCAUGGAUUGGACCAGGCUACAUCUCAAGGCCGUUAUACACUUUUCUAAUGAUCACUCCCUUAGUACCCACCUGGAUGAGACGAUGCAGGGCUAGUAGUGUGGGGCAACUGACCGGGUGAGAGCAAAUGAGGGAAGGUGUUGCAGGCAAUAAUGGAAGAGGUGGAGGAUGAAUGAAAGCAGGACAAUGGAAAGGAAGAUGGGAAAAUACAGAGAAUGAAAAAUAUCAGAAGCUCGUGGUGAGAAAGCUGCAAUUUUAAUGAGUGAUGACUUUAAGAAGAAUCUUUAACUGGCUGCCUAGUCUACAUAUACAUUUUCCCCUCAAAUCUUCAGUAGU